rnacentral:lncRNA from 1 species
CGGAGCCUCCGGUCGCGGGUCUAAGAGGACUAGGGCGGGAGCGGCGCGGAAGAAAGAGAGGACUGCGUUUUGGGGCGUUCUGUCAGAGGGGAAGGACGUGUGGAUUGGAGUCAGACUGCACUCCCGCCCUAUUUCUGUCGCUUAGAAACUAGUACUCUCAGAACAUGGAGUGGAAGAGGUGAUCAUGGUAGCAACAGACUGAGGAGUGAAUUUGAACUUGAGUUUUGUCUUGCUGUUUUUCAUUGAUGGAACCCAACUGGAAAUCAGAAUACAAGGGCACUCGAUUAAUUCAGUUCACAGAGGACUUCUUCCUGUGGCACGGAGCAUGGUGGGGAAAGGUACAAAGUAGACCUCGAGAAACA